rnacentral:rRNA from 1 species
CUCUUUCACUCCUACGGGAGGCAGCAGUGGGGAAUAUUGCACAAUGGGCGCAAGCCUGAUGCAGCCAUGCCGCGUGUGUGAAGAAGGCCUUCGGGUUGUAAAGCACUUUCAGUCGUGAGGAAGGUAGUGUAGUUAAUAGCUGCAUUAUUUGACGUUAGCGACAGAAGAAGCACCGGCUAACUCCGUGCCAGCAGCCGCGGUAAUACGGAGGGUGCGAGCGUUAAUCGGAAUUACUGGGCGUAAAGCGCAUGCAGGUGGUUUGUUAAGUCAGAUGUGAAAGCCCGGGGCUCAACCUCGGAAUUGCAUUUGAAACUGGCAGACUAGAGUACUGUAGAGGGGGUAGAAUUUCAGGUGUAGCGGUGAAAUGCGUAGAGAUCUGAAGGAAUACCGGUGGCGAAGGCGGCCCCCUGGACAGAUACUGACACUCAGAUGCGAAAGCGUGGGGAGCAAACAGGAUUAGAUACCCUGGUAG